rnacentral:RNase_P_RNA from 1 species
CUUGUAGUGUUCGUGCUAAGCCCAAUAAGCUUAGGGGCCGUGUAAACGGCUACGGCGGCCAAACGCGCUAAGGCGUCAGCUAUGCGCUAGUAGGUCUGAAAAGUGCCACAGUGACGAAACGAUCAGGGAAACCUGAGCGGUGGAACGGGUAAACCCCGCGAGCGAGUAACCCAAACUUUUGGUAGGGGCGUUUUGCCAAGCAAAUUGAAGCGACGGCAAUACAGCGGUAACGCUGAGAUAGAUGAUGACUGAAGGAGCUUGUGCCUGAACAAGUUCUGGAACAAAACAUGGCUUAUAGGG